ACGAACGCUGGCGGCGUGCCUAACACAUGCAAGUCGAGCGAAUGAAGUUCCUUCGGGAAUGGAUUUAGCGGCGGACGGGUGAGUAACACGUGGGCAACCUGCCUCAUAGAGGGGAAUAGCCUCCCGAAAGGGAGAUUAAUACCGCAUAAGAUUGUAGUACCGCAUGAUACAGCAAUUAAAGGAGCAAUCCGCUAUGAGAUGGGCCCGCGGCGCAUUAGCUAGUUGGUGAGGUAAUGGCUCACCAAGGCGACGAUGCGUAGCCGACCUGAGAGGGUGAUCGGCCACAUUGGGACUGAGACACGGCCCAGACUCCGACGGGAGGCAGCAGUGGGGAAUAUUGCACAAUGGGGGAAACCCUGAUGCAGCAACGCCGCGUGAGUGAUGACGGCCUUCGGGUUGUAAAGCUCUGUCUUCAGGGACGAUAAUGACGGUACCUGAGGAGGAAGCCACGGCUAACUACGU
rnacentral:rRNA from 1 species